AUUGAACGCUGGCGGCAGGCCUAACACAUGCAAGUCGAACGGUAACAGGAAACAGCUUGCUGUUUCGCUGACGAGUGGCGGACGGGUGAGUAAUGUCCGGGAAACUGCCUGAUGGAGGGGGAUAACUACUGGAAACGGUAGCUAAUACCGCAUAACGUCGCAAGACCAAAGAGGGGGACCUUCGGGCCUCUUGCCAUCGGAUGUGCCCAGAUGGGAUUAGCUUGUUGGUGGGGUAACGGCUCACCAAGGCGACGAUCCCUAGCUGGUCUGAGAGGAUGACCAGCCACACUGGAACUGAGACACGGUCCAGACUCCUACGGGAGGCAGCAGUGGGGAAUAUUGCACAAUGGGCGCAAGCCUGAUGCAGCCAUGCCGCGUGUAUGAAGAAGGCCUUCGGGUUGUAAAGUACUUUCAGCGGGGAGGAAGGGAGUAAAGUUAAUACCUUUACUCAUUGACGUUACCCACAGAAGAAGCACCGGCUAACUCCGUGCCAGCAGCCGCAGUAA
rnacentral:rRNA from 1 species